UACGAAGGGAGCUAGCGUUGUUCGGAAUCACUGGGCGUAAAGCGCACGUAGGCGGAUGUGUCAGUCAGGGGUGAAAUCCCGAAGCUCAACUUCGGAACUGCCUUUGAUACAGCACAUCUGGAGUCCGGAAGAGGUGGGUGGAAUUCCUAGUGUAGAGGUGAAAUUCGUAGAUAUUAGGAAGAACACCGGUGGCGAAGGCGGCGCUCUGGACCGAGACUGACGCUGAGGCGCGAAGGCGUGGGGAGCAAACAGG
rnacentral:rRNA from 1 species